rnacentral:rRNA from 1 species
GAUGAACGCUGGCGGCGUGCCUAAUACAUGCAAGUCGAGCGAAUGGAUUAAGAGCUUGCUCUUAUGAAGUUAGCGGCGGACGGGUGAGUAACACGUGGGUAACCUGCCCAUAAGACUGGGAUAACUCCGGGAAACCGGGGCUAAUACCGGAUAACAUUUUGAACCGCAUGGUUCGAAAUUGAAAGGCGGCUUCGGCUGUCACUUAUGGAUGGACCCGCGUCGCAUUAGCUAGUUGGUGAGGUAACGGCUCACCAAGGCAACGAUGCGUAGCCGACCGGAGAGGGUGAGCGGCCAAACUGGGACGGAGACACGGCCCAGACUCCUACGGGAGGCAGCGGUAGGGAAUCUUCCGCAAUGGACGAAAGUCUGACGGAGCAACGCCGCGUGAGUGAUGAAGGCUUUCGGGUCGUAAAACUCUGUUGUUAGGGAAGAACAAGUGCUAGUUGAAUAAGCUGGCACCUUGACGGUACCUAACCAGAAAGCCACGGCUAACUACGUGCCAGCCGCCGCGGUAA